ensembl:lncRNA
ACAACGUUUUCUUUCGGCUAAAUUGCGCUUAGAAAUAGCCAGCAUAAUCUUUUCUAGAUUUUGGCCAAAUGUUUUAAACAAAAAAACUGUCAAUGCUUUAAAGACAUUAAAGUAUUUUUUUCAAGAUAUUUAAAAUGUUUGCUGCAUGGUUAAAAAAUGCUACUUGUCAGGCCAAAAACAAAUUAAUUUAAAGGGAAACUGAAACUCUCAUUCGGCAUGAAUCCAAAUGUUUCCAUAUUCGCGAAUCACGACAUAUUUGGAUGCUAAAAUAAUAUUUAUUAUGUAUUGGUUUUACACUUAACUCGCAUUAUCAACAUAAAUCAUCAUCCUUCACAAAGGCUAUAACAGCACAGUGAGGCGCUGGUCAUCUGGCUUCUAAGAUGUGCUCCAGCAUACAUGACCCUAGUUACCUGUGGUUGGCCUGGCCGUGCGUCACUCAGAAAACAACAGGCCAAUCAAAAGAGAGGCUCAAGAACAUUAAUUAGACUGACCAAAAUCGACCUGUUCUUAGCAGAGCUCCUGAGAGAGGAGCUGUUAAAAUAUAUUGAGAUGGUUUUUGGUACUCAUACCGCAAAUAUAUAUUCUUAAGGGCAUCAAAACCUAAAAUAAAACUCAAGAAAGGUGUUAAAUAUGUGACCUUUAAGAUAUUUCUGAUGAAAUCCGAGAGCUUUCUGACCAGCUUUCUUUGCUAUCACACUUACAGAUACACCUGAAGAGUCAAGCCCAGGGGUGUCAAACUCAAUUCCUGGAGGGCCAGAGCCCUGCGUAGUUUAGAUUCAGCCCUAAUUAAACACACCUGAUCCAACAAAUCAUGUCAUUCAGGCUUAUUUGAAAACUACAUGGUAUGUGUGUUGGAGCAGGGUUGGAACAAAACUCUGCACACUCACGUGGGGCUCAAAGGGAGAUGGUCCUCACUGCAGAACACAAGAUCCAAGGGGCGAGGUUGGAUCCAGAUCCAACUCCUCCCACUUUAUAAACUUUGUUCCACCGGAUGAACCUGCAUAUUUUGUGAAGUUGCAGCCCGUGGUCGCCAACGUUUGCUCUUAUCAAUAUGCACAGAACAGUGUUGCGGCAAUGAGAAGAUUGCCCUUCAGAGAUGCCAGAGCUAUUGCUGUAAUUGCCAUUGCCCGUUCUGCGGACCAAAAGUGUUCAAACCCACCAUGGAACUUCACGUGGUGGAGAAUCAUGUCUACAACCACUUAUCUUUGGCAGUACAGCAUGAAGGCAAGUUGACAUUGAUUUAUUUAUUUUUAUUCAUAGUUAUUGUUAAUAUUAUUUUACUGAAGUUGGUGGUUGCUCAUUAGCCUAAUUUGUUUAAUGUAAGCCUCGUAGUAUUGUUACGCUUGAACAAUACAAUACAACUUUUUUAGCAUGCAUAUUUCAUUAGGAAGAAUAGAAUGUUGGAAGUCAUGGCCUAAUGGUUAGAGAGUCGGACUUGUAAACCAAAGGUUGCGGGUUUGAGUCUCGUACCGGCAGGGAUUGUCGUUGGGGGAAGUGAAUGUACAGCGCUCUCUCCCACCUUCAAUACCACAACUGAG